rnacentral:rRNA from 1 species
GAUGAACGCUGGCGGCGUGCCUAAUACAUGCAAGUCGAGCGAACAGACGAGGAGCUUGCUCCUCUGACGUUAGCGGCGGACGGGUGAGUAACACGUGGAUAACCUACCUAUAAUACUGGGAUAACUUCGGGAAACCGGAUCUAAUACCGGAUAAUAUAUUGAACCGCAUGGUUCAAUGGUGAAAUACGGUUUUGCGGUCGCUUAUAGAUGGAUCCGCGCCCUAUUAGCGAGUUGGUAGGGUAACGGCGUACCAAGGCGACGAUGGGUAGCCGGCAUGAGAGGGUGACCGGCCCCAUUGGGACUGAGAGACGGGCCAGAAGCCAACGGGAGGCAGCAGUGGGGAAUAUUGCACAAGGGGCGGAAGCCUGAUGCAGCAACGGCGCGGGCGGGAUGACGGACUUCGGGUUGUAAACCGCUUUCGACUGUGACGAAGCGUGAGUGACGGUAAUGGGUAAAGAAGCACCGGCUAACUACGUG